rnacentral:rRNA from 1 species
UACGUAGGGUGCAAGCGUUAAUCGGAAUUACUGGGCGUAAAGCGUGCGCAGUCGGUUUUGUAAGUCUGAUGUGAAAUCCCCGGGCUCAACCUGGGAAUUGCAUUGGAGACUGCAAGGCUAGAAUCUGGCAGAGGGGGGUAGAAUUCCACGUGUAGCAGGGAAAUGCGUAGAGAUGUGGAGGAACACCGAUGGCGAAGGCAGCCCCCUGGGUCAAGAUUGACGCUCAUGCACGAAAGCGUGGGAGCAAACAGG